GAUGAACGCUGGCGGCGUGCCUAAUACAUGCAAGUCGAGCGAACAGACGAGGAGUUUGCUCCUCUGACGUUAGCGGCGGACGUGUGAGUAACACGUGGAUAACCUACCUAUAAGACUGGGAUAACUUCGGGAAACCGGAGCUAAUACCGGAUAAUAUAUUGAACCGCAUGGUGCAAUAGUGAAAGACGGUUUUGCUGUCACUUCUAGCUGGAUCCGCGCCGCAUUAGCUAGUUGGUAAGGUAACGGCUUACCAAGGCUACGAUGCGUAGCCGACCUGAGAGAGUGGUCGGCCACACUGGAACUGAGACACGGUCCAGACUCCUACGGGAGGGAGCAGUAGGGAAUCUUCCGCAGUGGGCGGGAGCCUGACGGAGCGAGGCCACGUGAGUGAUGAAGGUCUUCGGAUCGUAAAACUCUGUUAUUGGGGAAGAACAGAUGUGUCAGUAACUAUGCACGUCUUGACGGUACCUAAUCAGAAAGCCACGGCUAACUACGUG
rnacentral:rRNA from 1 species